rnacentral:lncRNA from 1 species
AGUGCCAGGCCAAGGACAAGUCACAGGUGCAACAACGUGCCAGAACUGGAUCCGGAGCCCCAGGGCGCAAGAUCUCCCGCAGCGUCACCCGGCAGAGGGACGGGUGUGGCCACCGGGCGCGGCAGGUCCUGCGUGCGCUGAAAGUGCGGCUGGAGGCGCGGACGGCUUUCCGGAGCCCCGAGAGAGGAGCUAGGAAUGACUUUGGUCGCAGCCUCUGUAACCCCGCAUGACGGCCUCUAGGGGGACAGCGAGGUCCCCCUCGAUCUCUGGCUGUAAUCAGCCGGCGGGGCCAG